rnacentral:misc_RNA from 1 species
CGCACCUUGCACCCUUUGGUAUUCCGAAGGGUACACCUGUUUGAGUGUCGUGAAUUCCUCCCCCUUCCUGCCUUUGCGGGCGACGGACGGCGGGGACUUUGGGGGUCUUUUGCGGGUCUUUUGGAUCUGCUCCCCUUGAAUGCAUUAGCGAAGCCCGCGCGGGCCUUUGUGUGAUAAUUAUCUACACAUAGGUCCCGUUACGAAGGUUUGCUUCGAACGGUCUCCCAUGCCGAGACAACUUUCAUCGAACUUGACCUCAAAUCAGGUGGGACUACCCGCUGAACUUAA